rnacentral:lncRNA from 1 species
UACACAGGUAAAAUAGCUACGGACGUUUUACGUCCGUAAAAAAUCCGUAAUACGUCCGUAUUAUACGGCACGUCUACGGACGAAUAGUACCACGGACGUAAAACGUCCGUUGCUUCCCAUCCGUAAAACGUCCGUAAUACGGAUAUUUAGUACCACGUCCGUAAUACGGACGUUUAGUACCACGUCCGUAAUACGGAUGUUUUGUACCACGGACGUAUAACGUCUAUUAUUAUUAUGCAUUAUAAUAUAUAUAUAACACACUUAUUAUAGUAUAUAGUAUAGUUUGAUUUUUAUGUAACACUUGCAUUGUAUUGCUGAAACUUUUGAUGGAGCUGUCAAUGAUAAAA